GCAAACUUGGUCAUUUAGAGGAAGUAAAAGUCGUAACAAGGUUUCCGUAGGUGAACCUGCGGAAGGAUCAUUAAAAAAUAGCUUUUUGCUAUAAUUUUGUCUACCUUGUGUGCAAACAAUGGAAAGAGAAAAUGGAAUUUUACAAUACUUUUUCUUCACGGAAAAGAAGUGUUAACAAAUUCUUUAUAUUUUUAUAUAAACACCAUUAAAAUUUGAAUGAAAAAUAUUUUUAAAUAAAAAUAAUUAUACAACUUUCAACAACGGAUCUCUUGGCUCUCGCAUCGAUGAAGAACGCAGC
rnacentral:misc_RNA from 1 species